rnacentral:rRNA from 1 species
GAUGAACGCUGGCGGCGUGCCUAAUACAUGCAAGUCGAGCGAACGGACGAGAAGCUUGCUUCUCUGAUGUUAGCGGCGGACGGGUGAGUAACACGUGGAUAACCUACCUAUAAGACUGGGAUAACUUCGGGAAACCGGAGCUAAUACCGGAUAAUAUUUUGAACCGCAUGGUUCAAAAGUGAAAGACGGUCUUGCUGUCACUUAUAGAUGGAUCCGCGCUGCAUUAGCUAGUUGGUAAGGUAACGGCUUACCAAGGCAACGAUGCAUAGCCGACCUGAGAGGGUGAUCGGCCACACUGGAACUGAGGCACGGUCCAGACUCCUACGGGAGGCAGCAGUAGGGAACCUUCCGCAAUGGGCGAAAGCCUGACGGAGCAACGCCGCGUGAGUGAUGAAGGUCUUCGGAUCGUAAAACUCUGUUAUUAGGGAAGAACAUAUGUGUAAGUAACUGUGCACAUCUUGACGGUACCUAAUCAGAAAGCCACGGCUAACUACGUG